UGGGGAAUAUUGGGCAAUGGAGGAAACUCUGACCCAGCAAUGCCGCGUGCAGGAUGAAGGCCUUCGGGUUGUAAACUGCUUUUGUACGGAACGAAACGGUCCCUUCUAAUACAAGAGGCUAAUGACGGUACCGUAAGAAUAAGCACCGGCUAACUACGUGCCAGCAGCCGCGGUAAUACGUAGGGUGCGAGCGUUAAUCGGAAUUACUGGGCGUAAAGCGUGCGCAGGCGGUUAUAUAAGACAGAUGUGAAAUCCCCGGGCUCAACCUGGGACCUGCAUAUGUGACUGUAUAGCUAGAGUACGGUAGAGGGGGAUGGAAUUCCGCGUGUAGCAGUGAAAUGCGUAGAUAUGCGGAGGAACACCGAUGGCGAAGGCAAUCCCCUGGACCUGUACUGACGCUCAUGCACGAAAGCGUGGGGAGCAAACAGG
rnacentral:rRNA from 1 species